UGGCUCAGUUGGUUAGAGCAUGGUGCUGAUAACAACAGGGUCGUGGGUUCAAUCCCCAU
rnacentral:tRNA from 1 species